GAUGAACGCUGGCGGCGUGCCUAAUACAUGCAAGUCGAGCGAACAGACGAGGAGCUUGCUCCUCUGACGUUAGCGGCGGACGGGUGAGUAACACGUGGAUAACCUACCUAUAAGACUGGGAUAACUUCGGGAAACCGGAGCUAAUACCGGAUAAUAUAUUGAACCGCAUGGUUCAAUAGUGAAAGACGGUUUUGCUGUCACUUAUAGAUGGAUCCGCGCCGCAUUAGCUAGUUGGUAAGGUAACGGCUUACCAAGGCAACGAUGCGUAGCCGACCUGAGAGGGUGAUCGGCCACACUGGAACGGAGACACGGACCAGACUCCUACGGGAGGCAGCAGUAGGGAAUCUUCCGCAAUGGGCGAAAGCCUGACGGAGCAACGCCGCGUGAGUGAUGAAGGUCUUCGGAUCGUAAAACUCUGUUAUUAGGGAAGAACAAAUGUGUAAGUAACUAUGCACGUCUUGACGGUACCUAAUCAGAAAGCCACGGCUAACUACGUG
rnacentral:rRNA from 1 species